GGCCGCUGCCGGUGCGCGGCGGCGGAGAGCAGCCGGCGGCGGGGAGCGCGCAGCCCUGCGCCCGGGGAGGCAGCGGCUCGGCGCCGCGGUGCCUCGCGGAGGCGGAGAGGAUGAGGAUGGCUUCUGGCUUUUUUUUUGCCUCCUCGCGAUGAUUUCCAUAGUAACCUGAUCGAGCGGUGCAAUUUCGGAAACUGGGGUGGCUUUAUUAUUAUUUUUUCCCUCCCCAUUUUUUUCCCCCGUUUAAUCUCACCUCUCCCCGAGGAGUGCCAGCCGACAGUGCCCAGCAACUGCUACAGGCUUUCCAGACACAAAAGAAAGGCGUAGUCUGUGGCCUGAAGAUCGUGCAUGCUAAAAAGGCAGUCAGCUGGAGGGGAUCACAGAUCAACAACCAGCUCCGCCACCGCCGCCUGGUAACUGGCUUCAUUCCGGGAAUGUGA
rnacentral:lncRNA from 1 species